rnacentral:misc_RNA from 1 species
GAAAUGCGAUAAGUAAUGUGAAUUGCAGAAUUCAGUGAAUCAUCGAAUCUUUGAACGCACCUUGCGCUCCUUGGUAUUCCUUGGAGCAUGCCUGUUUGAGUAUCAUGAAAUCUUCAAAGUAAAUCUUUUGUUAACUCAAUUGGUUUCUACUUUGGUAUUGGAGGUCUUUGCAGCUUCACACCUGCUCCUCUUUGUUCAUUAGCUGGAUCUCAGUGUUAUGCUUGGUUCCACUCGGCGUGAUAAGUUAUCUAUCGCUGAGGACACUGUAAAAGGUGGCCAAGGUAAAUGCAGAUGAACCGCUUCUAAUAGUCCAUUGACUUGGACAAUACUUUUAUGAUCUGAUCUCAAAUCAGGUAGGACUACCCGCUGAACUUAAAC